UACGGGGGGGGCAAGCGUUGUUCGGAAUUACUGGGCGUAAAGGGCUCGUAGGUGGCCAACUAAGUCAGACGUGAAAUCCCUCGGCUUAACCGGGGAACUGCGUCUGAUACUGGAUGGCUUGAGUUCGGGAGAGGGAUGCGGAAUUCCAGGUGUAGCGGUGAAAUGCGUAGAUAUCUGGAGGAACACCGGUGGCGAAGGCGGCAUCCUGGACCGACACUGACGCUGAGGAGCGAAAGCGUGGGGAGCGAUCCGG
rnacentral:rRNA from 1 species